rnacentral:lncRNA from 1 species
CUUGACCAGUCUCCUUGUCACCUCCCUGCCAACACAGUCUCCUUCCUCAAUGCAUUCUUAAGAUGCCCGUUCUAAGCAGAAUCAACAGAGCAGGGUUGGCUUCAUGGGUGAGUGACUUGAAGAAUGUCAUCCAGAAAACGUGACCGCUGAUUGACCCAUGAGCUGAAUGGACCUUGGGGGCAGUAGAGCACGCACGCGAACAGAAGAGAUGCCUGAAAUAAAUAUGUCUGUGGUUGUUUGCCGCCCGUUUGCUGAAGAACAUUCUGGAUGCUCUGAUGGAUCCACAGCAUGUGGCAGUGGCAGUUCAGUGAGAUUCAAAGCUAGGAUCAGCAAAAGGACACAUAUUAAGGUCAGCCAAGGGCAGAGGCUCCUGGAGCAGAGUCCAAGAGAAUUCCACAAAUGGAGCUUCCAGUUGUCCCCUCCUAGUGGAGUCAAGGACAGUGCCAACAUCUUCCAGCAACAACAGGUGAUGACAUACAGGGAAGCCCCUCUAAGGCUUGGGGUCCAGAGACUGUACUGGGGCUCUGUCACAUCAACAUAAGGGACUCGCCAUGUGGCUGACCUUGAGUCUCCAUCGCCUCCAGAGGUUGGACUGACAUUGCGUGGUCAAGCCUAAAUCACAUCGUUAUACUUUCUGGCAUGGUCUAAGGCCCCCAGGUGAAGGAAAACACUCUUAAAAGGCAGGACAUUCCAAGGGCUUCGAGAUCGCCUCCUGGAAGCAAGAGCAAAGGCGAGGCUUCUUUUUGGGAAGGGUGGGUCCUUCCUUGCACAUCAAGUAAUGCUUCUGGGAAAACAAAGAAGAUGAGGAAAAUCCAAAGUAGCAAGAGUACAGGGACCCGGUCCAGUCGUGCUCUGUUGUGGGAGCAUAAGCGAUUAUAACGUAACCUAGGCAGCGAAAUACACUCGUGCUUGCUUGGUGGAAAUAAAC